AGCUCCAAUAGCGUAUAUUAAAGUUGUUGCAGUUAAAAAGCUCGUAGUUGAAUUUUGGGCCUGGUUGGGUGGUCUUGCCGAAAGGUAAGCACUGCCUCGGCCGGGUCUUUCCUUCUGGGGAGCCAGCGUGCUAUUUAUUUAGUGCGUUGGGGAUCCAGGACUUUUACUUUGAAAAAAUUAGAGUGUUUAAAGCAGGCUUACGCUUGAAUACAUUAGCAUGGAAUAAUAGAAUAGGACUUUGGUUCUAUUUUGUUGGUUUCUAGGACCGAAGUAAUGAUUAAUAGGGAUAGUUGGGGGCAUUAGUAUUUAAUUGUCAGAGGUGAAAUUCUUGGAUUUAUGAAAGACUAACUUCUGCGAAAGCAUUUGCCAAGGAUGUUUUCA
rnacentral:rRNA from 1 species